AAUUUAUAUAUAGUUGAACAAAACAGGUUUUUGGUCUUCUAAACAAUACAAGGAUAUUAGAAUACUUUAAGUGUGGGCUGUAUUUUCUUCUGAAUGAAAUGCUAUUGCAACUGAGUGACUAAGUUCCAUCUUGUAAACUAUAUUAUUCUACUUUGCAAAGGUUUAUCUUUUAAUUGUUGCGAAAUCAUCUGUCUCAUUCUUGGAGGAAUACAUCAUCUUGCAAAAUACGUAAAUUGUAUAGCUGCCGUAUGGAUUUACAUUUCACCCCCUUCCUGUAACAUCUCUGCCAGG